GGGGGGGGGGGGGGGGGGGGUUGAGGGGGGGGAGUGGGAGGGGAGGGGGCGGGGGGUGUGGGGUGCUGGGGUGGGGAACGGGUGAGUCACGGGUGGGUACCCUGCCCUGGACGUGGGGAUGACUUCAGGAAGCGGGGGCUAAUACCGGCUAGGAGCUCCUGCUGCAUGGUGGGGGUUGGACCGUUUCGGCGGUUGGGGAUGGACUCGCGGCUUAUCAGCUGGUUGGUGGGGUAGUGGCUUACCAAGGCUUUGACGGGUAGCCGGCCUGAGAGGGUGACCGGCCACAUUGGGACUGAGAUACGGCCCAGACUCCUACGGGAGGCAGCAGUGGGGAAUAUUGCACAAUGGGCGGAAGCCUGAUGCAGCAACGCCGCGUGCGGGAUGACGGCCUUCGGGUUGUAAACCGCUUUCGCCUGUGACGAAGCGUGAGUGACGGUAAUGGGUAAAGAAGCACCGGCUAACUACGUG
rnacentral:rRNA from 1 species